rnacentral:rRNA from 1 species
UUAUGUGUGUUUUAGUGGAACGCUCUGGGAAGUGCGAACGUAGAGGGUGAUAUUCCCGUACACGAAAGGGCACACAUAAUGAUGACGAGUAGGGCGAGGCACGUGAAACCUUGUCUGAAUAUGGGGGGACCAUCCUCCAAGGCUAAAUACUCCUGACUGACCGAUAGUGAACCAGUACCGUGAGGGAAAGGCGAAAAGAACCCCUGUGAGGGGAGUGAAAUAGAUCCUGAAACCGCAUGCAUACAAGCAGUGGGAGCACCUUCGUGGUGUGACUGCGUACCUUUUGUAUAAUGGGUCAGCGACUUAUAUUCAGUAGCGAGGUUAACCGUAUAGGGGAGCCGUAGAGAAAUCGAGUCUUAAUAGGGCGUUUAGUUGCUGGGUAUAGACCCGAAACCAGGCGAUCUAUCCAUGAGCAGGUUGAAGGUUGGGUAACACUAACUGGAGGACCGAACCCACUGUCGUUGAAAAGCCAGGGGAUGACUUGUGGAUAGGGGUGAAAGGCUAAUCAAGCCUGGUGAUAGCUGGUUCUCCCCGAAAGCUAUUUAGGUAGCGCCUCGGACGAAUACCAUAGGGGGUAGAGCACUGUUUCGGCUAGGGGGUCAUCCCGACUUACCAAACCGAUGCAAACUCCGAAUACCUAUGAGUACUAUCCGGGAGACAGACUGCGGGUGCUAACGUCCGUAGUCAAGAGGAAAACAAUCCAGACCGCCAGCUAAGGCCCCAAAAUCAUAGUUAAGUGGGAAACGAUGUGGGAAGGCAUAGACAGCUAGGAGGUUGGCUUAGAAGCAGCCACCCUUUAAAGAAAGCGUAAUAGCUCACUAGUCGAGUCGGCCUGCGCGGAAGAUGUAACGGGGCUAAAACUAUGUGCCGAAGCUGCGGAUGUAUACUUUGUAUACGUGGUAGGGGAGCGUUCUGUAAGCCGAUGAAGGUGUGUUGAGAAGCAUGCUGGAGGUAUCAGAAGUGCGAAUGCUGACGUGAGUAACGACAAAACGGGUGAAAAACCCGUUCGCCGAAAGACCAAGGGUUCCAGUCCAACGUUAAUCGGGGCUGGGUGAGUCGACCCCUAAGGCGAGGCCGAAAGGCGUAGUCGAUGGGAAAAUGGUUAAUAUUCCAUUACUUCUGUGUAAUGCGAUGAGAGGACGGAGAAGGCUAAAUCAGCCUGGCGUUGGUUGUCCAGGUGAAAGGAUGUAGGCAUGUAUCUUAGGCAAAUCCGGGGUACUCUAUGCUGAGAUCUGAUAGCAAGCUGUACUUGUACAGCGAAGUGGUUGAUGCCAUGCUUCCAGGAAAAGUCUCUAAGCUUCAGUUACACAGGAAUCGUACCCGAAACCGACACAGGUGGUCAGGUCGAGUAGACCAAGGCGCUUGAGAGAACUCUGCUGAAGGAACUAGGCAAAAUGGUACCGUAACUUCGGGAGAAGGUACGCUGUUGUUGGUGAUGGAACUCGCUUCCUGAGCUGACGACAGCCGCAGAAACCAGGCCGCUGCAACUGUUUAUUAAAAACAUAGCACUCUGCAAACACGAAAGUGGACGUAUAGGGUGUGAUGCCUGCCCGGUGCUGGAAGGUUAAUUGAUGGGGUUAGCGUAAGCGAAGCUCUUGAUCGAAGCCCCAGUAAACGGCGGCCGUAACUAUAACGGUCCUAAGGUAGCGAAAUUCCUUGUCGGGUAAGUUCCGACCUGCACGAAUGGCAUAAUGAUGGCGGCGCUGUCUCCAGCAGAGGCUCAGUGAAAUCGAAAUCGCUGUGAAGAUGCAGUGUACCCGCGGCUAGACGGAAAGACCCCGUGAACCUUUACUGCAGCUUGACACUGAACUUUGACCUUACUUGUGUAGGAUAGGUGGGAGGCUUUGAAGCUGGAACGCUAGUUCCAGUGGAGCCGUCCUUGAAAUACCACCCUGGUAAUGUUGAGGUUCUAACUCUGUCCCGUGAUCCGGGACGAGGACCGUGUCUGGUGGGUAGUUUGACUGGGGCGGUCUCCUCCUAAAGAGUAACGGAGGAGUACGAAGGUGCGCUCAGCGUGGUCGGAAAUCACGCGUAGAGUAUAAAGGCAAAAGCGCGCUUAACUGCGAGACCCACAAGUCGAGCAGGUACGAAAGUAGGUCUUAGUGAUCCGGUGGUUCUGUAUGGAAGGGCCAUCGCUCAACGGAUAAAAGGUACUCUGGGGAUAACAGGCUGAUACCGCCCAAGAGUUCAUAUCGACGGCGGUGUUUGGCACCUCGAUGUCGGCUCAUCUCAUCCUGGGGCUGAAGCAGGUCCCAAGGGUAUGGCUGUUCGCCAUUUAAAGAGGUACGCGAGCUGGGUUUAGAACGUCGUGAGACAGUUCGGUCCCUAUCUACCGUGGGCGCUGGAAAUUUGAGAGGAUCUGCUCCUAGUACGAGAGGACCAGAGUGGACGAACCUCUGGUGUACCGGUUGUGACGCCAGUCGCAUCGCCGGGUAGCUAUGUUCGGAAGGGAUAACCGCUGAAAGCAUCUAAGCGGGAAGCCUACCUCAAGAUAAGAUUUCCCUAGGACUUUAUGUCCUCUAAAGAGCCGUUCGAGACUAGGACGUUGAUAGGUUGGAUGUGGAAGCAUAGUGAUAUGUGAAGCUGACCAAUACUAAUUGCUCGUGAGGCUUGACUAU